rnacentral:rRNA from 1 species
CCUGGUUGAUCCUUCCAGUUGUCAUUUUCUUGUGUCAAAGAUUAAGCCAUGCAUGUGUACGUAUGAACAAAUUCAUACUGUGAAACUGUGAAUGCCUCAUUAAAUUAGUUAUAGUUUGUUUUGAUGGUAUCUAAUACUCUGAUAACCAUAGUAAUUGAAGAGCCAGUACGUGCAACUAUCCCUAACUUCUGGAAGGGAUGUAUUUAUUAGAUAAAGGGUCAAUGUGGUCUCUUUCCAUUGCUUCGAUGAUUCAUAAUAACUCGAAGAAACGCAUGGCCAUCGUAUUGGCGAUGCAUUAUUUAAAUUCUGCCAUACAAACUUUCGAUGGUAGGAUAGUGGCCUACCAUGGUGGUGAUGGUGACAGAGAAUUAGGGUUCAAUUCUAGAGAGGGAUCCUGAGAAACAACUACCACAUCCAAGAAAGGGAGCAGGCACACAAAUUACCCAAUCCAGAUACGGGGAGGUAGUGAUAAUAAAUAAAACUACCAGGCUCACUAAGUCUGGUAUUUGGAAUGAGUACAAUCUAAAUCCCUUAACGAGGAUCCAUUGGAGGGCAAGUCUGGUGCCAGCAUCCGUGGUAAUUCCAACUUCAAUAGCUUAUAUUCAAGUUAUUGCAGUUAAAAAGCUCAUAGUUAGACUUUGGGAUGGGCUGGCCGGUCCGCUUAUCGUGUGCACCGGUCAUAUCGUCCCUUCUAUCAGCAAUGCACUCCUAGCCUUAACUGGCCGGGUUGUGCCUCUGGCGCUGUCACUUUGACGAAAUUAGAGUUCUCAAAGAAAGCCUACUCUCUGUAUACAUUAGCAUUGGAUAACAUUCUAGGAUUUCAAUCCUAUUACGUUGGCCUUCGGGAUUGAAUUAAUGAUUAAUAAGGACAAUUGAGGGCAUUCGUAUAUCAUAGUUAGAGGUGAAAUUCUUGGAUUUAUGUAAGAUGAACAACUGCGAAAGCAUUUGCCCAAGAUAUUUUCGUUAAUCAAAAAUAAAAAUAUGAGGCUAAAAGAUAAUCAGAUACCGUCCUAGUCUUAACCAUAAACGAUCCCGACCAGGGAUCGACAGAUGUUGCUCUUAGGACUUUGUCGGCACCUUAUGAGAAAUCAAAGUUCGUGGGUUACUAAGGAAGUAUGGUCGUAAGGCUGAAACUUAAAGGAAUUAACGGAAGGGCACCACCAUGAGUGGGGCCUGCGACUCAAUUUGACUCAACACGGGGAAACUUACCAGGUCCAGACAUAGUAAGGAUUAAUAGACUAAGAGUUGUUUCUUGAUUUUAUGGGUGGUGUUGCAUGGAUGUAAUUAGUUAGUGGAGCAAUUUGUCUGGUUAAUUCCGUUAACGAACGAGACCUCAGCCUACUAACUAGCUAUGCGGAGGUAACCCUUCACGGCUAGCUUCUUAGAGGUACUAUAGCCUUUUAGGCCGUGAAAGUUUAAGGUAAUAACAAGUCUGUGAUGCCCCUAGAUGUUUUGGGCCAAACGCGUACUACACUGAUGUAUUCAACGAGUCCUGGGUAAUCUUUAAAAUUUUAUUGUGAUGGGAAUAGAUCAUUGCAAUUGUUGGUCUUCAACAAGGAAUUCCUAGUAAGCGCGAGUCAUCAGUUCGCAUUGACUACGUCCAUGCCCUUUGUACACACUGCCCGUCACUCCUACCGAUUAAAUAAUCCGAUGAAAUAUUUCGAUCAUGACAACGUAGGCGUUUUGUUGCCCGUGACAUUGUGAGAAGUCCAUUGAACCUUAUUAUUUAGAGAAAGGAGAAGUCGUAACAAGGUUUCCUAGGUGAACCUGUGGAAG